AAUAAAAACUAAAAAACCCUAUGGGAAACAAAUAGAACCGCUCAGCGGCUCCUUUUCUCGUUUCUUCCUUUCUUAUCUUCUAUUCAUAACCUUUGCUUCUCACUUUCAAGUCUCAAGACUCCUGAUCAUCGGAGCGGCGAAACUCAGUCACCCGAAACCCUUCACAAGGCGGCGCUUCCCUUGUCAAGUCUCAAGACUUCUGAUCAUCGGAGCGGAAAGAGUGCGUAAUUGAGUUUGAAGGUAUACUUCUCUAUCUAUUUGCGAAAUUUGGGUCUUUUUUAAUUAUGCGUCUUUAGAGUGGGGUUAUUGUUAAUUAAUUUGGUUGAAUUGGUUUUUGUGGGGAAGGAGGUUUGUAUUCAAUUACGAUUGAUUAAUUAUGGGGUUUAGGGUUUCUUCCUCUAAAUUGGUAGGUUAUGAGUAUUGGGUUCUGGUUUUUCAUUUUGAGAAUGGGCGACUGAAUUACUUAGAAUCAACCUUCACUGUAGCGCACAAGAAGGCUAAGCUCGAAAAUGGCGUCAAAGGAAUAUCUGUUUCUGUCGAUAUAUACAACUGUGGAUAUUUGUAUACUCUCCUUUUCUCUCUCCUAAUUUUGCAUUUGCGAUUACAGAUUCAAAUAUUUUUUAAUUUGAUUUUUCAUUUGAAGUUUUUAAAUUGAAUGCUCGUGUGCUUGAUUUUGGUUGCAUAUUGAUUUGGAGGAGUCAAUUCUGUUGGAAUUGAAAUUUCAUUACAAUUUCGUUGUUUAAUCUUGGAUUUGUGCACUUGAUUAAUUUUUUGAGUUUGCGAAUUGAUUGAGAAAUAGAAUAAUUGUUUGUUAAUCAAAAAAUUAAACUGAUUUUACAAGGAUUAGUUACUAUUUAAAGUACCUGUACUGAAAAACUAGAAUCAUUUCCCUGGAAUAACAUGCAUAUUGAAGAUUAAAGUUCUCUAGCGUGUAUGUCAAAUUUUCUAUUUUACUCCAAAUACAUGUCAUGUAGUUUUGAUAAUGUGAUUGUCAUUGACAAAAAAAAGCAUUUCUGUUAGACCUCAUUAAUGAAAUAGCAGUACAGAGUACUAGUGAUAACCACAUAUCGCAUUUCUCUUGUGCCUCGUGAUCGACACAGUAGUAAUGAGUAUAAGGAACAAAUAUCACAUUUCAAUUCCAUUAGAUCUCAUGAAUGAAAUUGGAGUCAUGAGUACAAGUAAUGACCGAAGAUCAUAUUUCAGAAACCCCAUGAGGCCAUGAUAUAACUAUUUCAUAAUUUCAAUGAUAUUGCCUCAACUAGUCAAAAGGGACUUAAUGAGUAUUGCAGCCGUUUUUGGCAUGAAUGGAUGAAGCCUUGACAGAUUCUAGAAUUGACGUUUGGAUGUUGUAUGUGGCAACUUUUCAAGAUCAUGGGACAGCCUUGAUGUGUGAGUAUUUAUUUAUUAGCAGUUAUAACUAUAUUUUCUCUAUGGGAGUUCCUUAGUUGUGAAUCUGUAAACUGAUAAUUGUAAUUCACAAUUGAGAGGAAGUCAAAGAUCAUGAAGUAGAGAGAGAAAGGGGUUGGAGUUCCAUAAUAACCAUUAGCUAAUAUCUAGAGAAGCCAUGAUGUUUGGAAAUCAUGGUAUAUGUUUUCUUACUUAGAGAUGGUUGUUCUAUUGGAUCAAAGUAACUAUGUUGUCAAAAUCAGAAGUACUUAUAAAGUUAUAAUAGACUUUGCUGAAGCAUGGUACUAUUAGUAGUAAACUACAGAUUCUUGACCUUGGCCUCUUCCUUUGUUUUUGGGGCCAGCCUGCUAAUUCUUGUACUAGUGUAUCGAUCUGUUUUAUAAGUCUCUUGCAGGAGUAAUCCUUGCAGAGGUAGGGCAUUACCGGCAGAUAACCUUGUUAUUCUCUCAUACAUAAUUUUUUGUUGACAACUUUCUACGAUGUUCCGCAGAUUAAGCAAUAACAUCUUUACAUUUAAACAUAAUGCAAGGAAGUCAAUAUAAACCACUGUCAUCUAAUAUCUAAUAUCUUCUGCACAUAUCCAGAUAUCCUCUUACAUACCAAAAGCUUUAACUGAAUAGAACAACUAAUGCACAAAUACAAGUUAGCAAAGUUUUUCACAACAGCUAGAAUCAUACAUGUUUUUCAUAUUAACAACAACGACACCAUUGAUAAUGCAAUAUACAGAAAAAUACAAACACAUCAAAGUUCUAUAGUUGAAGAACUCUGUAAUAUUCUUUUAUGCCUGUGAAGAACUUGAGACCUUACCUCACUGUAUGCUCUGAUCAGAAACUCGCUUCUCUAAUGAGUAACAAUUGGGGUAAAUGUGUUGUUUCUUUAUUCCACAAUUGUCAAAUAUAUUGGAUACUCUUAUAUGUUUUGAAACUGUAAAUCUAGACGAAACUUUUGUAAAUUUAUUUUUCAAUAUAAUGCUUAUGGUAAUGAUAAUUCUUUCUUAUUUAACUUUCUUAUAUAUAUAAUCACUACUACAAAAACCUUGGUUUUUGGACGCUAGGUGCUCGACGCAAGAGUAUGAGCGUUGGUGCAAAUAAUUAGUUUCCGCUUACUCACGACGCUUUUUAUCGUCCAGUGUAAUGUAGACAACAAUAAGCGUCGAGAAUUCACGUGCAAUCCACGUGAUGUUGUUUAAUUAGCUAUUCUGGAACUUCAUCCCCUUUUUCUGUUGCCCGCAAGGUCGCAAUUUCACCCUUUUUUCUGGAAAAGAAAAACCACCUCAUUGAAUAGCUCUCACCCACCUCUCAUCUCCAAUCUCAGAUCUACUCUCCUCUCAUUGAAUUUAUAAGCUCUUUCACGUAGCUUCCUUGUUUGUCUUCUCAUGGGCUUGUAUUUCUCUCUCUCAUCUCUCCAUAAAAAUUAAAUUUCAUUCUCUGAAAUUGUCGAUCCUGUUCGGCGUGUCAAUGGUUUAUCAUCUUCUACCUUGUCGGCCUGGUAAAGGUAACAUAAUUUUCCGUUGCGUUUCUUUUUUCUUCUUUUUUCAACUUUCGUUUUGUAUUUUUUUGAAACAUGAAUUUCUAGGGUUUUUAGGUAUUUGUUUGCAGUUGAAUCGUGUAUUUUGAUUUCAUUCUUCUCAUAUAAUUGGUUUAAACGCCAGUAAUUUUGUGUUCACUCUUUUAAUUGGGUUUUAUUUGUCUAUCUUGAGUAGAAAUUUUCGAUUAUAGCCCUAAUUUGUGUUAGUUUUAUUUUUUCGGAGUGGUGUUGAAAUCUUUGUUUUUUGCAGCUUGGUAUUAUGCCAUGACUAAAAUGUAAAGUGUUUUGGAUUUCAGCUGGGUAUUCUCUCUAGUAGUUAAUUUGAUGUCGCAUGUAAUGAUUAUGGUGUUAAUUUGCGAUAUAAUUAGUUUCCUCUCACUGUCAAAUUCUUGAACUAAUAGCAAUCUAGGUUAUUAUUGAUAAUUUUGGAUUCAAUUAAUUUUACUGUGGCCUUAAUUCAUUCAAAUUAUGCCUACUUCUUACAGUGUAUUUUUAUUGCAGCCAUGUGUUUUAUUGUGAUAAUCGCUGCUUGUUUUCUUUUUUCUUUUAUAGAUAAGCUAAUGACUGAUUUAUGGAUUUGCCUUAGAUUAUGUGUUUUCUAGUGUUUAAGGGCUUAAUGACUUUGUCUGUUACCCUGCUUAUGUACAAGGAAGUCUCCUAAUUGAAUUCUCUUUGUACAUAAUUUGUUUUGAAAAGAAGGAAUGAUAACUAGUUAGAACAUGUGUAAUCAUAAUGCAUCUAGUAUUGCCUGCGAAUUAAGCUAUUAGCAGCUGUUAUUUUUUUCAGAUAAACCCCUUCACUUCUAAAGCAUUUUUUACUGAAACUACAGUAUCACUACUACAAAAUGAGUGUUUUCUAGACGCCUUAGCCUCGACACCUGCAGCUUAGAGUUAGCCUAAGAAAAGAUGAGGAUUCAUCGUCAACCCAACAGCCUGACUAGAUGGAUCAAUGAAGAGAAUCCGAGCAUUGACCUGUGUAUGUGGCAGGUGCUUAGUUGAUAAAAUAUCUAAUUUAUUACACUUUACAUGGAGUAGGAAAAAGAAAGUAUACAUUUAAUGAGACUUAAAGCACAAAAUUUUAAGAGAAUCAGUUACAGAACAGUUCAUUGGGAAAAUCUUGUACUUGCAUCACAAAUAAACCAUAUAUCAAGGUGUGGCGUGGCAGCAGCAUGCCAGGCUGCCAGCAACAACACAUAAACGAUUGAACAUACAUAGUUUCCAAGUCAUUUGGACUUUAACAUGCAUAGACAAUUACUACAAGACCCAUCAUUUACAUGUUUGCACAUGUCUACGUGAGGCCAUAGUAUAGCUACCGGCUUGGUAAUUGAGUUGAGUUCAUGGCUGGUAUCAGGUGAAAAAGAAACUGAAAAGGUGUGAAAUUGCAAUAUUCAGUGCAUUAGGUUUUUUGAUAAAUGAAUAUUCAUUUCACUAUUUAGCUACACAAGUACACAACUCUUCCUCCCCAACUCCGAAUAAACCAAUCUGCAUCUAAAAGGUAAUGGAGAAAGAGUGAGAGUCAGUAAGGGAAGAAAGAACUGGAGAUGAAAUAUAAUGCAAAAUUAGAUCAAACAAAUGCUACAACAUCAUGGAUUUUCUAAAAUCAAAUUAAGAUAGAAUCCCAAAGUUAUUUGAUUUCUAACAACCAUAGAUUUUACAUUAAUUAACAUCAUGCCCAUCCACCCCCCAUUUCAUCUUAUCAUCUUCUUCUUCUCCCAAGUUUGCUUACUAUCAUUGAUCAUUAUGUCAAUUGUACAGUGUGCCUGUACUUAGUGUGCAAACUCAUGAAAUAACUACCAAAGAACUAAAAGAGCCAUUGUAAACUAGAGAGGAUGAUAGUGCGCUUGCAUGUUCAAACCAAUACUUUAAUGCCCUGCCCUUCUUCUUUUUUCUGUUUCCUCCUUGUUCAUUUAUCUUCUUAAAAAUAGACUUUAAUACUUAUUUUUCUUUGACUAGUUCUUUCCUGUUUCUUGAUAUCCUCUGUUUCCUAUGUUCCUUUUUCCAUUUUCCUCUUAAUAACGUUUUUCAUUUCUUUACAUUGAACUGAUGUAUUUCAGUUCUUCCUUCAGUGUCAUAUAACUUGUAACAAAUUGACCAAAAAGUUCCAGGUUUGUUUAUGAUGGCAGAUUUGUUUUUUGAUGAAUUUGGCUGAAAUUUUGUUUCUUGGGUUUGCAAUCUUUUAUUGUUCGGUUUUUUUCUUAUAAUAUUUAUUCGAUGAGUGAGGAUACUAGUAUAUUGGUCAAUGCUGCUUCUAAGAAUUUUUAUGUUUCUUUUUUUUUAAUCACUGCUUGUUGGCCAAGUUCGUACAGUAAGUGCUUCAAGCUCUAGAUUGUGCACAAGUCUUGGGAAUGGUACAUGAAAGGAUCAUCCAACGUGAUAAGGAGGGACAUGACAAUGAAGGCAAGGACACAUGAGCUUAUAAGCUACUACCACCAUUAGAUCCUAGUUUUUCUAGGCUUUAGUUCUUUGGUUUUGUGGUACAAUUUGUACUUUUGAUUAUUGAUUAUGUUUUGUAAUAUUUAGUUAGUAACUUUUAUGUACUAUGGAUUUUGGUUAGUAACAUUAUCAUGGAAUUUGGUUAGCAGCAUUAAUUAUCAUGUACUAUUGAUAUAUUAUAUAUGGUUUAUUAGUAACA